GCCCUUCAUUAUUUGCCCAACAGAACACUUGGGACCAAGAAAAGUAGACAAUGUAUAAAAAGAAUAAUUCCUUGAUUUAUGUUGAUCAACAAUGCUUAUUAACUACGCAAUCAUGAUAAUAAUUAAAAAUUAAGGAACGCUUUUAUAUAAUGCUUGUCCUUGUGGAAUUGAAACAAGCGUAGUGAGGGAAAUCUGAAUUAAGCUGUAUUAUUGUAAGUUGCAAAAAUGAGGAGGUGUGCUCAAAUAUGCUCCUGCAUUCCAGGGCUUAAGCACAAAGAAAGCAAGAGUGAAGACUCAGAGAAAUCUUCCCAUCAUAAGCCUCGAAGAAAGGACAAGAGCAGAGGGGACGCUUCUGCUGGGAUUCCAAGUGAUCACAGUACAGAAGGCAGCAGCCAUCAAGGAACCACUACUGCUUCCAGCAAUGAUGCUACCGGAGCAGCUGUGGUGGCAGUGCAUAUGUCUGCCACGGACGCUAGUGGCGGCGGCGGUGAUGGGUUCUAAAAGUGGAUUAUCUCUUGGCUUUGUUUCUUGCUUGCGUGUUACCAUCGGGCAUAUUCUUUUGUUUCUGCUCUUUUUCUUCCUCUCUUUUGGAUUUGAGAUUGCUCUUUGUUUGGCCACAGUAGAGCUUUUGUGGUGGAAUAAUCUGCGACUGAUGUAAGCUGACAUCUAUUUGAUGGAUGUAAAGUGUGCACUUGUAUUUUUCAUUUUUGUUUUUCUACUUUUCGUAAGCAGAUUCAUGGAUGUAAUCUGAAAUGCUCUUUUCAAGUCAAAGGUGGUCUCUUUUUUUCCCUUGAUUUCUAGUAUAUUUAUUGAUGUGAUGCAACACUCAAUGCACAAUGUGUGAUGGCCCUUUGGCAUCUCUUAUUGAUCCUUUUUAUUUUUGAAUUGCAAGAUUUCGGUCAGUUUAAUGAACUUUUCUUUUUACAUGUAUUCACACAUAACAAACCGAAAAUACCCGUCAAAUUUGCUUCAUUUGGCAUAUUACUUGCUCAAUACUUGCCCUCUAGCCUUGUUUUUAACUAUGGCCUUGUACACAAUACACAAAUGGUAGUAAGCCCUCCAGAAAAGGUUAUGAGAGAGCAGAGGAGGAUUUGGAGCUGGUUGAUCAGAGAAGAUGCAUGUGAAUAGCUGUUGUCAUCCCUGACUCACAUACAUGUGAAUUAUUCUAUAAAUUAUAAAAGAUAACUCUCCUAUUAAGGAUGAUUGCUAUUUGAAUGUAUUCAUUAAUUUCGAAAGAUGUUUUUAACUUAGUUUUACACAGUUGAAAAGGAAAGAUCACUAACUAUGACCUAGGUUGAUACCCACCAAAUCAAGCAUUCAGAGAACUCUACGACCAAAUAUGGGAAGUCAUGCCCUAAUUUAGCUAAGUUAUGAGCGGUAAAAAUGCACAUGAACUGACAGUUCCAAUGGUGAUUCAACAAAGCCAUUAGUGUUAAAUUUUGUAUAAAAUUCACUAAUGCGAAAUGAUUUGAGGUUGUAUGUUGAUGAAGAGGCGGAUUUACCUGGUAUAUACAUACGAUAUAGUGGGUCAAUUGGAUGACUGUUAAAAGUCUUGUAGCCGACUUUUCCUCUCCUUUUCGUUUUUUCAGUAGCUAGGGUUCUAGACUUUUGGUCCUGCCGUUCAGCGGCUCCUUCUGCCCCUAAGGGCAGGGGAAGCUCCUCCCCCCAGCUCGGAAGUAGGUUUCGCCCUCCCCUUUCUGGGCUGGGUUGUAGAUAGGUGGAUUUUGAUGGCAGGUCUUGUGGUUCACCGAGAGGGCUUUCUUUGGCCUGUUGUGGUUCUAGGUUAGUUUGUUUGGUGCUUCUGUGGGUUGUGUUUUCUUGCUUGCAGGGAAGUUGCUUCGAUUGUAGUGGUAAAAGGACAAGGUUAUCAAGAGGGUUCAAGAGUUCAGCCGAGUAGUGCCGCCCCUUCUGGCUAUAUGACCUUCUUCUCUCUGUCUUUAUCUCUAUGUUUUUGUUGGGUAUGUUUGUGUUGCAUGAAGGUAUGGUAUCUUGAAAGGGUCCUUAAGAAACUGAGAUGGAUUGAGUUGUGUAUGCAGCGGCGGUGGUGCUUUCCUGUCGCCACUGUUUGUUGUUUAGUAAAAGGCUCUGUUUUAGGGGUUACAGUUUAGUGGGUAUGGCACCUCUGGGGAUUCCUCCAUUGCUACUCGUUAGCCUUCUUGUCGCUUAAUGGUUAUGAUACCGGAGAGCUUUACCAUACCGCCCCUAGAAUUUGAGAUUUUAUUCCUGGUAAAGCUAAGAUUGAGCUCGGAGACGUUGAUUCUGGAAAGAGUUUGCUUCUAUGGCCUUGCCUGGGUGUCGAUUUGGUGCUUCAUCUAUAGGUACGAGGCUUGCUUGGUGGUCAGCGUUGGGUCGUUUGCUGCAAUGGUUGCUAUAGCAGAUGGCUAGGGUUCCAAGCUCAUGCAGUGAAGAUAAGUCCUGGAUCGAAUUUCAACUGGGUCAGGUUCUUGGUGUUGGGUUGAGUUUGUUGUAACAGGCGAUGAGCCUGAUCUGUUAGGACUAUUUUUCUUUACUUACCAUGGAGCAUUUUCUGUAUUGAGCCUGGGCUUCCUUUGAAACUAAAUUAUUUAAGGCCAAAUUUAUAAUAUGCUUAGUUAUUAAAUCUAUCUGCCUUUCGGGAAAAAAUUGGAUGACU
rnacentral:misc_RNA from 1 species